CUUCUUAUUAACAAUUCAGCUGUGCUAUCCAGAUUUGCUGAGUCUGAUGCCUUUGGGUCACCAUAAGGACGGAUUUCAUUUUCACGACCAUUCCAAACAGGAGAUUCCAAUGAACUUUCUCGAGAGCAUCCAGUUCAAGUUACCCUGUAUGGUAUUAAUCUCUCCAUUAUGACCAAGAAACCGCAUUGGUUGAGCUAGAGGCCAUCUUGGACUCGUAUUUGUGCUAUACCUUCGAUGAUAAAUGGCAAAGGGUGAUUUAUAAAGAUCACUCUGAAGGUCAGAGUAAAACAAUCCAAGAACUUCAGAGCGAAGCAUUCCCUUAUAAAUAAUUGUUUGAUUAGACAAAGAACAGAUGUAAAGCUCAUCACCCCAACUUUCUAAGGUAGCGGCCCUCUCGAUCAGCUUCCGACAGAUGUAGAAUUCUCGUUCAAUAUCAUCAACAUUCUCUUCCUUAACAACUCUAACAAAUACCUGCUGUAUGUUGGGCAUGGUUUCUUUUGCAUAAUAACCAACUACAGACUUAUUUACAGGAACAGGCCUCCAUCCAAGCACCUCAAGGCCUUCUUGUUUAAAAGUAUUUACGACAACUUUUUGGGCUUCUUUCAUGAAGUUAUCAUCCUUGGGGAGGAAAACCAUCCCAACACCCGUGUGCAAUUUAUCAAAAGGUGCAAUUCCUUGCUUGUCAGCCCAGUUGUUAAAUAGAUCCCAUGGAAUUGAAGUCAUCAAUCCUGAUCCAUCGCCGGAGUCAUUGUCUGCUCCACAACCACCACGAUGUUCCAUACAGCCAAGAGCUGUAAGAGCAUCCUUAACUAUCUGAUGUGAUGCUUUAUUUUCCAAAUUAGCAAUAAACCCAACUCCACAAGCUCCUCUUUCUGAUAUUAUGUCAUCCAAGUUAGCAACCUUGGGUUUCAAAUCAGGUUGAGGAACUGAUUCAGUACCACGAGUUGCUCUAACUGAACACGAGUUUCUACUUACAAAUCGAGACAAACUAGUUCGUGCUAUUGACGGAGUAGAAGAGACACCAACACCGAUUCUCCUUCUACCUCUCUUGGAUUUAGAAUAUAACCCCACAAAAUCAGCAAAUAAGAGACUUUUGCUGUUAUUAUUAUUAGUGUAAGCAAGAACUGAACACGGUGCCUUCGUAGACGAACCAUUGGAGGUGGCGGGGGCAGCGGUGGAGGAAGAG
rnacentral:misc_RNA from 1 species